rnacentral:rRNA from 1 species
GGUGCCAGCCGCCGCGGUAACACCGGCAGCUCUAGUGGUAGCAAUUUUUAUUGGGCCUAAAGCGUCCGUAGCCGGUUUAAUAAGUCUCUGGUGAAAUCCUGCAGCUUAACUGUGGGAAUUGCUGGAGAUACUAUUAGACUUGAGAUCGGGAGAGGUUAGAGGUACUCCCAGGGUAGAGGUGAAAUUCUGUAAUCCUGGGAGGACCGCCUGUUGCGAAGGCGUCUAACUGGAACGAUUCUGACGGUGAGGGACGAAAGUUAGGGGCGCGAACCGGAUUAGAUACCCGGGUAGUCCUAACUGUAAACGAUGCGGACUUGGUGUUGGGGUGGCUUUGAGCUGCUCCAGUGCCGAAGGGAAGCUGUUAAGUCCGCCGCCUGGGAAGUACGGUCGCAAGACUGAAACUUAAGGAAUUGGCGGGGGAGCACCACAACGCGUGGAGCCUGCCGGUUUAAUCGGAUUCAACGCCGGACAUCUCACCAGAGGCGACAGCUGUAUGAUAGCCAGGUUGAUGACUUUGCUUGACUAGCUGAGAAGAGGUGCAUGG